AGAGUUUGAUCCUGGCUCAGGACGAACGCUGGCGGCGUGCCUAAUACAUGCAAGUCGAACGCUUCUUUUCCCACCGGAGCUUGCUCCACCGGGAAAAGAGGAGUGGCGAACGGGUGAGUAACACGUGGGUAACCUGCCCAUCAGAAGGGGAUAACACUUGGAAACAGGUGCUAAUACCGUAUAAUAAUCGAAACCGCAUGGUUUCGUUUUGAAAGGCGCUUUACGGUGCCGCUGAUGGAUGGACCCGCGGUGCAUUAGCUAGUUGGUGAGGUAACGGCUCACCAAGGCCACGAUGCAUAGCCGACCUGAGAGGGUGAUCGGCCACAUUGGGACUGAGACACGGCCCAAACUCCUACGGGAGGCAGCAGUAGGGAAUCUUCGGCAAUGGACGAAAGUCUGACCGAGCAACGCCGCGUGAGUGAAGAAGGUUUUCGGAUCGUAAAACUCUGUUGUUAGAGAAGAACAAGGGUGAGAGUAACUGUUCACCCCUUGACGGUAUCUAACCAGAAAGCCACGGCUAACUACGUGCCAGCAGCCGCGGUAAUACGUAGGUGGCAAGCGUUGUCCGGAUUUAUUGGGCGUAAAGCGAGCGCAGGCGGUUUCUUAAGUCUGAUGUGAAAGCCCCCGGCUCAACCGGGGAGGGUCAUUGGAAACUGGGAGACUUGAGUGCAGAAGAGGAGAGUGGAAUUCCAUGUGUAGCGGUGAAAUGCGUAGAUAUAUGGAGGAACACCAGUGGCGAAGGCGGCUCUCUGGUCUGUAACUGACGCUGAGGCUCGAAAGCGUGGGGAGCAAACAGGAUUAGAUACCCUGGUAGUCCACGCCGUAAACGAUGAGUGCUAAGUGUUGGAGGGUUUCCGCCCUUCAGUGCUGCAGCUAACGCAUUAAGCACUCCGCCUGGGGAGUACGACCGCAAGGUUGAAACUCAAAGGAAUUGACGGGGGCCCGCACAAGCGGUGGAGCAUGUGGUUUAAUUCGAAGCAACGCGAAGAACCUUACCAGGUCUUGACAUCCUUUGACCACUCUAGAGAUAGAGCUUCCCCUUCGGGGGCAAAGUGACAGGUGGUGCAUGGUUGUCGUCAGCUCGUGUCGUGAGAUGUUGGGUUAAGUCCCGCAACGAGCGCAACCCUUAUUGUUAGUUGCCAUCAUUUAGUUGGGCACUCUAGCAAGACUGCCGGUGACAAACCGGAGGAAGGUGGGGAUGACGUCAAAUCAUCAUGCCCCUUAUGACCUGGGCUACACACGUGCUACAAUGGGAAGUACAACGAGUCGCGAAGUCGCGAGGCUAAGCUAAUCUCUUAAAGCUUCUCUCAGUUCGGAUUGUAGGCUGCAACUCGCCUACAUGAAGCCGGAAUCGCUAGUAAUCGCGGAUCAGCACGCCGCGGUGAAUACGUUCCCGGGCCUUGUACACACCGCCCGUCACACCACGAGAGUUUGUAACACCCGAAGUCGGUGAGGUAACCUUUUCGGAGCCAGCCGCCUAAGGUGGGAUAGAUGAUUGGGGUGAAGUCGUAACAAGGUAACC
rnacentral:rRNA from 1 species